rnacentral:tRNA from 1 species
GAGGGUAUAGCUCAGUGGUAGAGCAUGUGCUUAGCAUGCACGAGGUCCUGGGUUCAAUCCCCAGAACUGCCA